rnacentral:tRNA from 1 species
GGGAGUAUAGCUCAGUGGGAGAGCACUUGCCUAGCAUGCAUGAGGCCCUGAGUUCAAUCCUCAGCAGCACCC